UACGUAGGGUGCGAGCGUUAAUCGGAAUUACUGGGCGUAAAGCGUGCGCAGGCGGUUCGUUGUGUCCGUCGUGAAAGCCCCGGGCUUAACCUGGGAACUGCGAUGGAAACUAGCGAGCUGGAGUGUGGCAGAGGGGGGUGGAAUUCCGCGUGUAGCAGUGAAAUGCGUAGAGAUGCGGAGGAACACCGAUGGCGAAGGCAGCCCCCCUGGGAUAACACUGACGCUCAUGCACGAAAGCUGGGGGGAGCAAACCGG
rnacentral:rRNA from 1 species